GGUGUAAAAAUACCGAAUAUGUUGAUAUUUGGUUAUGUAUUCAUUACGAACUCCUGGUAGCAACAAUUAGGUUAAUAUUAAAUGAUAUUCUUCGCUCUGUGAAAUGUAGUGUACUAUUGAACAAAAUAUUGUUUUGUACGAAAUGAUACAAAUUAAAAAGAUUAAAAUCAUUUGUUACUCAAAUUUAUAUGUGAGAGAGUAAAGAAGCAUUAGCACACAAUGUUGAAAAUAAAUAUAUAAAACUAAAUGCAUUUACGUUGCAGCAUUAUCGUGUGCCAAACUAAUCAAUUGUUUUUGCUUAUGUUGUUUUUAAACACGCAAAAAUCAUUUAUUUAUGGUUUGUACUGUCGAAUGAAACUUCAAAAUAAAAAAUACUUGCGACGCAAUUAAUAAUAAUGAAAAAUUCGCUGCCAAUACUUAUAUACCUAUUAAUAUUUCUAGUCGCAACGUACGGAAAUAAAGACGUACCGUUUUAUCAAAUAGAAGCCCUUAUUGGUGAAACAAUUCAUUUACCAUGUAAUGUGUCUGCUAAAUCUGGAGAUGAAGCCGUUCUAAUACUGUGGUAUCGUGAGGAUAAGGGAACUCCUAUUUACAGUGUUGACAUACGAUCUGGAAUAACUAAAACCGCAAGGAGGUGGUCAGAUGAAAGUAUAUUUGGCAACCGAGCUUAUUUUUUAUUCGAGGGUAAUCCUUGGGAACUAAUUAUUCGGAAUAGCCAAAUAUCAGACACCGGGGUGUACAGAUGUCGGGUUGAUUUCAUGAAAGCACAAACCUACAAUAGUCGAGUUAUGUUAAUAAUAAUUGCGUUGCCUAAAGAAAUCAUCAUAAGGGAUGAAAAUGGUUUUAAACGCUCAACGGUGGCUGGACCAUACAAUGUAGGCGAUUUCGUGAUACUAAAAUGUGAAGCCAUUGGGGGUAAUCCCACACCCGAUUUAGCUUGGUUUUUUGAAGACCUAAAUUUGGAAUACGAAAUGGCUACUGACAUUCUUAACAAAUCUGUUCAAAGUGUCAUUAAAUUCGGACCUUUAAAUAGAGAACAUCUAAAUGGACGGCUUACUUGUCAAGCCCGUAAUCACUUAAAAGCUGCGCUUGUUCAGGCUAUUGUACAAAUCGAUAUGAACUUUCCUCCGUUGAGUAUUCGUUUACUUGGCGCACACCAGCCUCUUUCUGCCGGGCGCCGUUAUGAUCUAUUGUGCCAAAGUGCUGGAGGGAGACCACCUGCAGUUAUAACAUGGUGGCAAAAUAAUAUACGUUUGGAAAAAACUACCGAAACUAUAUCAAGCGAUGGCAACCAAACCACAAGUACAUUAUCAAUUAUUUUCGAGAAAUCUGAUUCAGGCAAAUUCCUGUCCUGUAAAGCAUAUAACCUUGCUAAACCAGUAAUGCCAUUAGAAGACGGAUGGAUUCUAGAUAUACAAUAUAUUCCGGAAGUUCAAAUACGACUUGGAACAUCUUUAAAGCAAAAUACUAUUAGAGAAGGGGCAGAUGUCUAUUUUGACUGUGUAAUAAAUGCACACCCAUUCGUUUACAGAGUUGAUUGGCGUCAUAACGGUUACGUAUUACCAACUAAUAUAUCACAAGGUGUUAUCAUAAGCAAUCAUUCAUUGGUUCUACAAGGUGUUAAUAAAGCAAGUGGUGGCAACUUUUCAUGUAUUGGAUAUAAUACUGAAGGAGAAGGACAAAGCCCUGUUUUCAACCUAGACAUCUUAUACGCUCCGAUCUGUUUAUCAAAUCAAUUAAAAGUGUAUGGAGUUGCAAAACAUGAAAACGUGAAUGUCACAUGUACGGUAGAUGCGAACCCACCUAUGGUGGAUUUUAACUGGAUUUUCAAUAACUCAAUUGAGAGUAUCGAUGUCGCUACGAAUCAUAUUUCGAAAACAGGAUUAAUGUCUACCGUGGAAUAUACGCCACUUACAGAGUUAGAUUAUGGAACUUUACUUUGUACCGCCGCAAACAGUAUAGGACGUCAAGUAUCUCCCUGCAUGUUUCACAUUAUCCCUGCAGGUCGUCCCGAGCAAGUUCACAACUGCAGUGUAGCAAACAUCUCUGUUUUGUCGCUAGCGAUAUCAUGCAUUGAAGGUUUUAAUGGAGGACUGCCUCAGCUGUUUGUAAUGGAAGUAAGAAACAUGUAUUCCAAAGAGCUUUAUGUUAAUAAAACAUCAUCUUAUCCUAGGUUCACUCUCACAACUCUUAUUCCCGGAAAUCCAUAUAUUUUAUCAAUUUUUGCAUGGAAUUUGAAAGGACGGUCAGAUGCCACGGUUUUAAAUGUAGACGUGAUUAAAACUCUAGAUACCAGUUUAAAUGCAGGGCAAGUUCUAAAUCACCGCGCCGAAUUUGUUUUUUCUCCUUUUUUAUCACUUAGUAUGAUAGUAAGCAUUGCUAUUUGCAUAGCACUUUUGGCAAUAAUAUUUUCUUUACGUACAACGUGUAAAAACUCAAGGCAAAUAAUAAAGGAAUUUUCGCAUGACCACAAUUUAUGGGAGGUUUCGAGUCGAAGUUCAGCAAGCAAAGAAAUGGACAUAAAUGAAAGUGAUGAAAGAAACCCAGAUGUCAUCCCUGAGCUACUCGAUAUCGAAAAACAGGAACAUGCAGAAAUAAUGAUGCAACAAGUAGCAACUAUUGGGUCUAAUAUUAAUAACCAAUUUUCAAAGCCACCCGAAGUUAUAUCACAUUUAUCACUCACCUUAAGAAGAGAUUUUCCGGUUCGAGCCCAUUUGAAAUAAUGUUUAAAAGCCUAGAACUAUUUCCACAUUCAAAAUUUUUAAAACCACUUUGGGCUGGUGGUGUGGAUUCACAGAAAGGGUUCUUUCUUACGUGGUGUUUAUGCUGGUUCCAAGAUAGACGAAAUUAUUUACAACUUAAAAGUUAUAAUUGUCAACAGUGGCGUGUUAGCCUAGUAGCGAAUGCGAUGACUGUUUGUUUGAUGGAAGGAGAUAUUUCGUCUUGUCCCAUGUUCACAAAGAGCCUCAUACGUUUCGCUUGUUUAUCCAGUCUGGAAGCCAAUGGUAUCAAAGUCGUCGGAACACGCCAGCAUCUGUACACUCCUACCUUCUCUACUUAGCUCUGUAGCUCGCAUUUUUUCCAGAAAUAGAUUGAAGAAGUCACAGCCGAAGAAGCUCUUUCGUUCCUGACGGAGCUUUAGGUGUUACUCAACGUCAGUUUACACAGUCUUAUUAGUUUUGCGGACUGAAAAAGUGUUUCCUCCAUAACUUCAGUAUGCUCAAAACAUCAGUCAUACAAGCGCAUGCUCCGGUUUUGAAAACUUCCGUUCCGUCCAGCUUCUCAUGGUCUUCAUACAGGCUUUGUCCGGAAAGUAAUAGUACUGAUUUUCUUUCACCGCCACUGUACGUCGUUCGUUAGAGCGGAGAUACGCGAUGAAAUUCUGUGUGAAACUCGAUGUCGAGAUGUCGUUGAUGAAUACCGUGUUGGGAAACCUGCGACUUCGACAAACAUCAACAAUGUGACUUGUGUGCGCACAGUUUUGAACUCAGACCGUCGUUUACUUGGCCAGAUGUUAAAUUUAUCAAAAUCUGUGGUUCAGGACAUUGUGACGGAGCACUUGAACAUGUGCGAACAUGUGCAAGGCGUGCGCGAAGAUGGUCCCAAAAGUGCUCACUGACGACCAUAAAUUGCGGCGAGUGGAAGUGUAACAAGAAAAUUUGAACAUAUGUGAAAGUGACCUCCAAUUUCCGAAUAACGUAAUCAUUGGUGACGACUCAUGAAUCGUUGAGUAUGCCGAUGAAAGACAUGCAUUUUGAAACGACUGAAGGGAUCCAAGUAGCAUGCAUCUCGACUCUCAAAGCUAUUCCGGAGAAUGCCUUCCGUAACGCCUUCAAUGCUUGGAAAUCGAACUGGCAACACUGAAUAGACGCGAAAUGAGCCUAUUUUCAAAGAUUUUAAAGAAUUGUAAUGAUGGAUUCAAUACAUUACAAAUUAUAGAGGAAGCACUACUUCAGCCUGCUGAAUGGCAGUGAUCGUACAAAGUCAGGAGAAGGCGAACCCGAUUUCUCAAUCGAUGACGAUGGAGCAGACGCUCCAAUGCUCGACCAUGAAGAAGUUCGAAUAGCAAUUACCAGAUAUUCACCAUGCGCCAAAUAUUGGAAAAUAUCCGUGAAAGGAGAAUCGACACACACCACCUCUUCAAAGCCAGCCUCUUUCAAAGCUGCUUUCGACAGCACGAAAAGGAGCUGCCUUUAUGCCGCGAUGUCUGAAUUUGGUAUCCCCGCAAAACUAAUACGGCUGUGUAGGCUGACGUUGAGCAAUACUGAAAGCUCCGUCAGAAUCUUAUCCUUCCCGAUACGAGCCGUUCGAUACCAAACGAGGUUUCAGACAAGACGACUCCCUAUCGUGCGACUUCUUCAACCUGCUGCUGGAGAAUAUAAUUCGAGCUAAGUUCUACAGCUACGAGCUACUUCGAGCAGGUACCACCUUUAAUAAGAGCGUACAGCUGAUGAUAUUGAUAUCAUCGGCUUCAACACCAGCGCCGUUAGUUCUGCUUUCUCCAGACUGGACAAGGAAGUAAAACAGUGAACGAGGGCAAGAGGAUAUAUCUUCUGUCAUCAAACGAACAGUCGUUGCAUUCGCGACUCGGCUCUCACUUCACUGUUGACAACGUUUAGUGUGUUUAACGUGGGAUCCUGCUGCUGACAGCUUAAUUCCACGGUGCUUUCUAUUGCAAGAAGCACGUAGAUCAAUACAAUGCGUUGAUCAGCGCCCUGAAAAUUGGGUGAGCAUUUUCAGUACCAAUUGGCAGUGUAGCAUGGACACACUAACAACCUUGGUAGGGUUCGAGGCCCAUCUAAAACCUCUGCCGUACUUUCGGUCCGGCACCUGGUUGCAAUGCAACUCCACAUUCAAAUUGACAGAGUCAAUUCUUCCCGCGAUGUGGGUUUUAACCACAACCACCACGAAUCUCCACAAAGGGCCAAACCCAAUGAGCAGAUUGGAGUUACCUCCAAGGGCUAACUGCUCCCCGUGGUACCAGUUUAAAGUCUUUGGUAUGACCUUGUAACCGAAGCUACGACCAGUUGAGUUUCCGCACAACUCUGGACUGGUUGCUAGAAUCUUAGUCCCCUCUUACGACAGGCAUGUCUUACCACGGGUAUAUUCGGUUUCCCCCCGAACCAAGGGGGUCGCCCCUACAUCCCUGUUGACAGUCAUAACUUCGAAGUUUUAUAUAAUUUCGUCUAUCCUGAAACCACUGUAAACACUACCAACAAUGUCAACAUGGAAAUCCAACGCAGGAUAACUCUUGCCAACACGUGCUAAUUCGGACUGAGUAGACAACUGAGAAGUAAAGUCCUCUCUCGACGAACAAAAACCAAACUCUUUUAGUCACUCAUAACUGCUCCGUUCUCCUCCGUCCUGCUAUAUGGUGCAGAGGAUUUGACGAUAACAACAACUGAUGAGUCGACAUUGCGAGUUUUCGAGAGAAAAGUUCUGCGAAUGAUUUAUGGUCCCUUUGCGCGUUGGCCACGUCUAAUAUUGCAUUCGAUAGAACGAUGCACUAUUCGAGAUAUAUGACGAUAUUGACAUAGUUCAGCGAAUUAAAAGACAGCGGCUACACUGGCUAGGUCAUGUUGUCCAAAUGGACGAAAACACUCCAGCUCUGAAAGUAUUCGACGCAGUACCCGCCGGGGGAAGCAAAGGAAGAGGACAGCCUCCACACCGUUGGAAGGGUCAUGUGGAAAAAGGCCUGGCUUCGCUUGGAAUAUCCAAUUGCCGCCACGCAGCGAAAAGAAGAAACGGCUGGCGCGCUGUUGUUAACUCAGCUAUAUUCGCGUAAGCGGUGUCUACGCCAAUAAAGAAGACGAAGAAGGUUCAACACAUUUUUUUAAAUCGACUCGGUGCUAUUACUUUCCGGACAAACCUGGGACAAAAAAAUUCAAAAUCUUCGGAAUAGCAUGACCGAAGUAUUAAAUGUUGGUAAACAGUUAUGAUCGUAGGGCUGUACGCAAUACCUACUCUUAAGUUCCCGCCGUGAAACCUGGAAACGUGAGCGACCCUUGUGUAAUUUGCGGUAGCCAAUCAGAGUGAAGCGUGAGGUCACGACUCAAAAGAGGAAGCUUCAGCGGAGCUAACCCGAGAUAUUCGGUUUAAGGGUUCGCUAAAGUCUAUUGCAGCGUCUGCAGAGCAGAGGUAUUAUGAAAUCCGAGGAGGACGAACUGCUUGCCUCCAGCCAGGAGACGAGUAGGAGUACUGCCGGUCGUACCAACCAAAGUACACCGGUAGAUACAGCAGAGAAAACAUCAGCUAUAAGGGAGGAGGCGUCCACCUCCAAGGCUGCCAUGAGCACCAACCAAAGUGCACUGGCGGCUAAAGGAGAGAGCAAAAAGAAGCGCAAGAAAUCCCAGAAUCAGCUGAGGAAAAACCGGUACCAGAGGGCGGUCUUCAUACUAGGGAAGAUAGCCAAAGACCAGGCAGCCGGUACCCCAGUUGAUGAGGCUGAAACAAAGCGCCUCAAAUCUAUCAUAGAGGAAUAUGAAGCUACCUGAAUCAGAAGAGAAAUCGCUCCACCACAGAAGUACCCGGAACUCAGCCCAAAAAAACCGAGGAGGAGUGAAGGAGAACACAGCAGCACAACAACGGCAAGGCAUUUCUGCGAUGUAGCCAGAGAUAGCCUGCAGGUGGCCAUUAAAGAUGGAAAAUCCUCCUUCCCGAGCACGAUACAGGAGAGAUGGGUGGAGAUCGACGUCAGAUUGUCGAGUAUGGUGCUAAGCUAUGUACUUGGCAAUCCUGCGGGUCCUCACCCGGAGUUUGACUCCUCUGAGACCCUCAAGGGCUACAGGGUCAUCAAGUGCGCGGACCAGGCCUCGCUGGAUUUCCUGACGGGUAGUGUGCUAAAAUUAGCAACGCCUUUGAAGGCCUCCAAUUGAGGCUUAUACCCGCCAGGGAUAUUCCGAAGAGACCUCGGGCAAGCAAGCCAAUACUAGUGGCCAUUUGCGAUGAGUCCAUUGACAACAAAGCGGCUGACGAAGACGACACGGAAGAGGUCGACGACACCAGCCAGUUGCUAAGGAAUGUGGGCAUUGAAGAACCCCAAAAUGCCCAAUAACAACAACAUAAGAUGCGUACAGAUUAACCUGCAGCACUCGAAAAGUGCUACAGCGAAUCUGACAACCCUCGUGAACGAGGGACGCAUCGACGUCAGCCUAAUACAGGAGCCCUGGGUCAAUGAAGAUUCCAUAAAAGGGCUAUACAGCAGCAACUAUAACCUUUUUUACACACGGAACAAAGCACAGCAGAUAUCACAGUGGUAAAGGUGGAACAGAAGGAAAAGCCCUUCUUCUUGGUCUCGGCCUACUUGGCCCAUGACGAAGACAUACCACCGGCCCCGCUCACCAGGCUAGUAGAGGAGAACAAGAAGGAUGAUGUCCUAAUAGGGUGUGAUGCAAAUGCAAGGCACACCGUAUGGGGUACCUCCAGUAUAAACACCAGAGAUAAAUCAAAAAAGCGAAGAAAUGGACCGACAAAAGGCCGUCCGAGAAUGCAAGGACUGGCGAAAAAAUCGACAAUGCUUAAACUUAAUUGCUUCUACCCCAC